rnacentral:rRNA from 1 species
GUCGAGCGAGCAAUCUUAACGGAAUACUUCGGUAGGAAGUCAAGAGCGCGAGCGGCGGAUGGGUGAGUAACACGUGGGCAACCUGCCCUAUAGCUUGGGAUACCACUUGGAAACAGGUGCUAAUACCAAAUAAGCAGCACGAGCGCAUGCUCAAGCUGUAAAAGGCGGCUUUAAGCUGUCACUAAAGGAUGGGCCCGCGGUGCAUUAGCUAGUUGGCAAGGUAACGGCCUACCAAGGCGAUGAUGCAUAGCCGAGUUGAGAGACUGAACGGCCACAUUGGGACUGAAACACGGCCCAAACUCCUACGGGAGGCAGCAGUAGGGAAUCUUCCACAAUGGACGCAAGUCUGAUGGAGCAACGCCGCGUGAGUGAAGAAGGUUUUCGGAUCGUAAAGCUCUGUUGUUGGUGAAGAAGGACAGGGAUAGCAACUGAUUCUUGUUUGACGGUAAUCAACCAGAAAGUCACGGCUAACUACGUGCCAGCAGCCGCGGUAAUACGUAGGUGGCAAGCGUUGUCCGGAUUUAUUGGGCGUAAAGCGAACGCAGGCGGGAGAAUAAGUCAGCUGUGAAAGCCCUCAGCUUAACUGGGGAACUGCAGCUGAAACUAUUUUUCUUGAGUGCAGAAGAAGAGAGUGGAACUCCAUGUGUAGCGGUGGAAUGCGUAGAUAUAUGGAAGAACACCAGUGGCGAAGGCGGCUCUCUGGUCUGUAACUGACGCUGAGGUUCGAAAGCAUGGGUAGCGAACAGGAU